UACGUAGGCAGCGAGCGUUGUUCGGAGUUACUGGGCGUAAAGAGUGCGUAGGCGGUUUCGUAAGUCUGGUGUGAAAUCUCCCGGCUCAACUGGGAGGGUGCGCCGGAAACUGCGGAGCUGGAGUGUGGGAGAGGCAAGCGGAAUUCCUGGUGUAGCGGUGAAAUGCGUAGAUAUCAGGAGGAACACCUGCGGUGUAGACGGCUUGCUGGACCACUACUGACGCUGAGGCACGAAAGCGUGGGGAGCAAACAGGAUUAGAUACCCGGGUAGU
rnacentral:rRNA from 1 species